GGAUUUUGGUUAAGAGGGCGCGGUCGGCCGUUUGGUCUGUACUGCGUUGUCUUGACUUCCUGAUGAGGACAUGCUCUUGGUUAACGCUGAGACAUGGAGUCAUCGUGGUUACUUUGAAAAAAUUAGAGUGUUCAAAGCGGGCUUACGCUUGAAUAUAUUAGCAUGGAAUAACACUAUAGGACUCCUGUCCUAUCUCGUUGGUCUCGGGAUGGGAGUAAUGAUUAAGAGGAACAGUUGGGGGCAUUCGUAUUUCAUUGUCAGAGGUGAAAUUCUUGGAUUUAUGAAAGACGAACUUCUGCGAAAGCAUUUGCCAAGGAUGUUUUCAUUAAUCAAGAACGAAAGUUGGGGGCUCGAAGAUGAUUAGAUACCAUCCUAGUCUCAACCAUAAACGAUGCCGACUAGGGAUUGGUGGAUG
rnacentral:rRNA from 1 species